UACAGAGGUCUCAAGCGCUGUUCGGAUUCAUUGGGCGUAAAGGGUGCGUAGGUGGCGCGCUAAGUCGGGUGUGAAAUUUCGGAGCUUAACUCCGAAACUGCAUUCGAUACUGGCGUGCUUGAGGACUGGAGAGGAGACUGGAAUUCAUGGUGUAGCAGUGAAAUGCGUAGAGAUCAUGAGGAAGACCAGUGGCGAAGGCGGGUCUCUGGACAGUUCCUGACACUGAGGCACGAAGGCGAGGGGAGCAAACGGG
rnacentral:rRNA from 1 species